rnacentral:rRNA from 1 species
CCUACGGGCGGCAGCAGUGAGGAAUAUUGGUCAAUGGUCGGGAGCCUGAACCAGCCAAGCCGCGUGAGGGAUGAAGGUACAGAGUAUCGUAAACCUCUUUUUUCAGGGAACAAAGGCGGGGACGUGUCCCCGCAUGAGUGUACCUGAAGAAAAAGCAUCGGCUAACUCCUUGCCAGCAGCCGCGGUAAUACGGAGGAUGCGAGCGUUAUCCGGAUUUAUGGGGUUAAACGGGUUCGCGGGGGGUAGUUUAAGCCUGCGUGAAAAGCCCGGGGCUAAACCGCGGACCGCAGUUGAAACUGGCAGUCGCGAGUGGGAGAGAGGUAGGCGGAAUGCGCGGUGUAGCGGUGAAAUGCAUAGAUAUCGCGAAGAACUCCGAUUGCGAAGGCAGCAUGCCGGCUCCACACUGACGCUGAGGCACGAAAGCGUGGGUAUCGAACAGGAUUAGAUACCCCGGUAGUC